rnacentral:rRNA from 1 species
CCUACGGGAGGCAGCAGUGGGGAAUAUUGGGCAAUGGAGGCAACUCUGACCCAGCAACGCCGCGUGAAUGAUGAAGGUCUUCGGAUUGUAAAGUUCUGUGAUGGGGGAUGAACACAAUGACGGUACCCCGAUAGCAAGCCAGGGCUCACUACGUGCCAGCAGCCGCGGUAAUACGUAGGGGGCAAGCGUUAUCCGGAUUGACUGGGUGUAAAGGGUGCGGAGGUGGUUUAGUAAGUUGGCGGUGUAAUUCCGGGGCUCAACCUCGGCGCUACUGUCAAAACUAUUUGACUAGAGUGCAGGGGGGGUAAGUGGAAUUCCUAGUGUAGCGGUGGCAUGCGUAGAUAUUAGGAGGAACAUCAGGGGCGAAGGCGACUUACUGGACUGUAACUGACACUGAGGCACGAAAGCGUGGGGAGCAAACAGGAUUAGAUACCCUAGUAGUC